AAACAUCUCUUUUUGAAUAAAAUUUUAAGUUGACUCUGCCCAAUGAAUAAUUAAAUGGCUGCAGUAUUUUGACUGUACAAAGGUAGCAUAAUAAUUUGUUUUUUAAAUGAAAACUAGAAUGAAGGAGGUGAUGAAAUAUAAACUUUUUUAAAUUAAAGUUUUGAAUUUUAUUUCUAAAUUAAAAAGUUUAGAUAUAAUUAAGGGACGAGAAGACCCUAUAGAAUUUUACAAUAUAAAUAUAUUUAGAAUAAAUUUAAAAAAUAUUGUUUAUUUGGGAGGAAUAUUAAAAUUUUAAACUUUAAUUUUAAAUUACAUAUAUAUAUGGAUAAAAUGAUUUUUAUAAUUAAAUAUAAGAUUAAAUUACCUUAGGGAUAACAGCGUAAUAUUAUUUGAUAGUUCAUAUUAAAAAUAAUGUUU
rnacentral:rRNA from 1 species